UACGUAGGGUGCGAGCGUUGUCCGGAAUUAUUGGGCGUAAAGGGCUCGUAGGCGGUCUGUUGCGUCAGGAGUGAAAACUCGGGGCUUAACCCCGAGCCUGCUUCUGAUACGGGCAGACUAGAGGUAUGCAGGGGAGAACGGAAUUCCUGGUGUAGCGGUGGAAUGCGCAGAUAUCAGGAAGAACACCGGUGGCGAAGGCGGCUCUCUGGGCCGAAACUGACGCUGAGGAGCGAAAGCGUGGGGAGCGAACAGG
rnacentral:rRNA from 1 species